GAUCAUGGCUCAGACACGCUGGCGGCAUGCCUAACACAUGCAAGUCGAACGAGACCUUCGGGUCUAGUGGCGCACGGGUGCGUAACGCGUGGGAAUCUGCCCUUGGGUUCGGAAUAACUUCGGGAAACUGAAGCUAAUACCGGAUGAUGACGUAAGUCCAAAGAUUUAUCGCCCAAGGAUGAGCCCGCGUAGGAUUAGCUAGUUGGUGAGGUAAAGGCUCACCAAGGCGACGAUCCUUAGCUGGUCUGAGAGGAUGAUCAGCCACACUGGGACUGAGACACGGCCCAGACUCCUACGGGAGGCAGCAGUGGGAAUAUUGGACAAUGGGCGAAAGCCUGAUCCAGCAAUGCCGCGUGAGUGAUGAAGGCCUUAGGGUUGUAAAGCUCUUUACCCGGGAUGAUAAUGACAGUACCGGGAGAAUAAGCUCCGGCUAACUCCGUG
rnacentral:rRNA from 1 species